rnacentral:SRP_RNA from 1 species
AGGCAGGCUAUUCUGGGAGGUUAGCCGUCUCCUGUCACGACAAAUCGGCUUUAUGGUCGGGUGAAGUCUAGGAAGAGGCUUAAAUUAUUGUUAUUGGUCUUGUCCUCUACUAUGAGGCUCUGUCCUUUGGGAUCGUUUUGUAAGGAAUCUGGUCAGGGUGGGAACACAGCAGCCAUAACUUAUUGAAUUGAUGCUCAGAGGGUAGCGGAGCUAAGGAAAGGAUGAGAAUAACCAGUGAUAAUGGUUUUAGUCCAUUUUUAGGCAUGCCUGUCU